CACUAUACAACCACACAACAACUUCCACCUUCAUCACUAUCUCAAAUCACAACCACCACCACAUCCCUACAAAGCACAACGAGAACACUCCGGCGACGGAAACUCCGGCAAGAUCUCCACAACCCAAGACCAAGAGGAUCCUAAUUGAAAUACAAACAAUCCUAAUUUUCCCAAAGGAUCUGUUUUGUUAAAACAGCAAGAUCUAAAAUUGAAAUACAAACAAUCCUAAAUUCCCCAAAGGAUUUGCUUUUUUGAGAGAAGUGAUCUGGAAAAACAUCAAAAGUGUGAUGCAGAACUCGCAAGGCAUCUUAUGACUAAGCUUGAAAAGAGUGGUGCAAAGAAGACCAAAACUGCAAAGCCAAAGAUGCCCAAGUGCAUUUUUGUCAAAGCAUCCGAAUUGGACGAAAGCAGCGCAAACCAAAAUGUCAAAGCAUCCGAAUUGGGUGAAAGCAGCACAAACCAAAAUAAGCGCAAAAGAGAAGCUGAUAAUCCCCAAGACCGUCCCUUCUAUCAGUUCUUUUAAUAAGUAUUUCUUUGGACAAAACUUGUAUGCAGUACAAUGGGUACUAUUUUUGUUGUGUUUUUAGACCUGAUCAAAAUAAUUUGUGUGACAGUUAUGUUGUUUUUUUAGCAGAGAACAGUUGGAACAGUUCAUGCCUAAGUUUUUGUCCUAAUUUUUUCUCCUCUGUUCUUUUGAUUGAAGAGGUAAAGUCUGUCUAUAUCUAGUAAUGAAUCAUCCCAUGUUCAAAAUCAAGAAUUACCUGUCAGCUAGAUUUCUAGGACUACAUCGCUGAAACCAACCACAGCUUC